CAUCACCACUCAUCCACGCACGGCAGGAGCGGGGGACCCAGGUAAGCCGUCGGUCCGGAGAACCCCCUUCGGACCGGCUAGGGGUGAAGCCACGCGCAGUACGCCCAGCGGACGCCGCACGCACAGCGGCCGCCGGGACGACGCGCGAGGCCGGGCAUCUCCAGCCCGAACCCGACAGCUCACCUCGCAGGCGACGGAGAGGAAUU
rnacentral:sRNA from 2 species